CCUAUUGAGAGCCUUGCAAAUAAAAAGCAAAUCGAAGGCAAAGAAUCCAUGAACUGAGAAAUGUCUUCCUUCUUCUUUCGGUGAAAAAAUGGGGAGCGGGGAAUUGAUUUGAAAAUUGAAUGCACUGCAAGAAAAUACGUACAAAAUAAUUCUCUGCCGAUGCUUCUUAGGGUUUCCCCCUUUUUGAUUCUCUAAUAGUUGCGGAAUGCCCUCGAGAAAUCGAGGGCUUCGCUGCGAACUUUUGUUCUGAUUCCGGAUUUUUCCAUUUCAAUCGAUUGAAACUACUUUCAUUUUCGAGAUUUUUUCUGCAAAAUUGAUCGAGGGGAAUGUUACUGCAUUUGAGUAUUAGGUUUUGAUUAUUCGAGAGUCUUCACGAAGCUAUUUCUAGUGCGAUUGCUUAUGAUUUUUCGUUAAAUGCUUCAAUCUGCACAGUUUCUGCUACUUCUGAAUUGAUCGUGUGGACUGAGUUCUGUUCUUGGGGUUUCUUAUCAAUCAGCAGAUGUUAAUGAUGUUUUUUAUUUUACAUUGCACAAUGCUGCUCGGUUUCUGCUGAUUCUGAUGGAUUUCUGAAACUAUAUUGUAUUUCUGAAUGAACCAAAUAACGUUGAUGCAGAAAAGAAGCUAUGGUUUUGCAGGGGUUGGAGUUUUGGAGUUGCGAUUUGAAAAGCGGUGGAACAUGUGGUUUAAUUCAAUAUAAAGUGAAGAAUCUUAAUAGGGUUUGACAUGCUGCGAAUCCUCUUGAAAUAGAGGAAUGCCUUCGGGAGCGUGGACAUAGGUGAUAUAUGGCUGUUGUCAGCCCAUGUCAUAUGGUUCUGCAGGGAUUGGAUUUUCGGAGUGACAAUUUGAAAAGCAGUGGAGCAUGUGGUUUAGUUCGUUGCAAAGCGAAGAACUUUAUCAGGAUAUGACAUGCUGCGAAUCCUCUUGAAAGAGAGGGAUGCCUUCGGGAACACAGAAACAUGUGGUGUAUAGCUGUCGUCAGCCCGUGCCAUAUGGUUUUGCAGGGAUUGGAUUUUUGGAGUGACGAUUUGAAAAGCGGUGGAGCAUGAGGUUUAAUUCGAAGCAAAGCGAAGAAUCUUAUUGGUGCUUGAAAGAGAGGGAUGCCUUUGGGAACGCGGACACAGGUGAUGCGUGGCUGUAGCCAGCUCGUGCCGUAAGGCGUUGGGUUAAGUCCCGUGAACGAGGAGGAAGAAAACAAGGUUAGUUCCGAAUGAUCCAUACAGAUUGAAUCAACUGAAUGCUCCUUGUUCUGGUUCUAGCUCUAUUUUCAAAAGAUGUCACCUGUUUACUAGGUUGUCUCCUAAAGGGUUAGAUUCUGAUUCAUCUAGAAGUCCAACUUCUCUGGGUUUUUGGUAGUUGCUAGUUUAGGUAACCCUCUUAGAGCUCCCAGAUCAUUAGCCAAUGCGGGCAUAGAAGGAGCUGGGAUUCUAGUGAAGUAGGGCUGAGCUUGAUAGAUUCUUUAAAUGACAAUGAUAGUAGUAAACUAUUUGGGAAGAAUCUCGAUCAUCCGGUAGUAAAACUGUUCUAUUCGGGCUUCGAAGCGUGACCGAGAAGUCGAAUUGUUCAUCACGGGAAAAUCAUUACCAGGGACCUAAAUCCUUGCCUAAAGCUUCCAUUGAACUGUUACAAUGCAAGUCUUUUGGGAACUACUCUUGUUCUUUUGAAUCCUACAGGUCGUUUGCUCCUCGAGCUGGUUUAACCGGUCACAGCCUCGGUAGUUGUACUACUACCGAGAGCAUUGCUGCUCGUCGGUCAGCCAAAGGAGCUCGAGUGUUGGAAAAAUGUCCCCUCAUGAAACCUUGUUCAAUUUCUUUAGGCAUAUCAGGUGACAGCAUAUCUAAGAGGCCUCUCUCAGCUAGUGAGAUUGAGCUGUCUGAGGAUUAUACUGUGUAAUCUCGCAUCGUCCAAACCCGAAAGCUACUCAUAUUUAUGGUGACUGCAUUUUAGAUUCGAACUCGAAUUAUUAAAGCUCGUCUUCGGAGAACGAAAUGAAGGAGCUCGAUAUCUUCACUUCAUAUUCCUUAAGUGGUUUCUUAAGCUUCUGCUACUCCUGUCACAAGAAACUGGAAGAGGGAAAAGACAUCUAUACUUAUAGGGGGGAGAAGGUCUAACGUGUCGUUCCCACGAGAUAUCGAUAGACGAAGAACUCGAGAAAUCCAUUGACAAAACCUCCGAGCGUUCUCCCAAGUCCAAUGCUGACCAUGAUGAGGACCUUUUUGAAACCAGCAUUGGUGGCUUUGCAUAAAACUCGCCUCAAUGGCUGGCCAGCAUCCCGUGGUUGACGAACCUGUCGGAGGCAAUCGACACGCACCCUUUUGGUCAUCUGUUUGAAAAGAGCUGUUUUUAUGUCCAUUGGUGGCAGCCAUGGAUGAUCAUUUCUAUAAAGUGAUGGUGUCUGCUUGCUUUGCUUCACCUUUCAUGGUCUUUAGUCGAUGAUAAAUCUUUGGUCUUGUUUCUAUCGUAAACUUAACCGAAUGCCCCGUGAGUCUGGAUUACACGGAGACACAAAACUUGAAUAUCUAACUUUUUAGUCGAUGACGUAUAUCUAAUCUAGUUAAACUA